AGCUUAGACAAACAUUCAAGCUGCUUCUACUUUUUUCUUUAAGAGAAAAAACAAAUAACGAUUCAGAGGACCGAAUGCAAAAAGGAGAAAAAUGGCAGAGAAAUUGGCUUCAGAGCAACGCCACUGCUUCGUCCACAAUGGCCAGAAGGUGUUCGAGUGGGGUCAAACACUGGAAGAGGUGAAUUUGUACAUCACCCUUCCACCAAAUGUUCCGAAGAAACUGUUUAACUAGGAUGAUGUAAUGCAUAUAACCUUGCAAAAGAGAGACAAAGGUCAGACGUGGUCUUCUCCUAUUGUAGGUCGAGGCCAGUUGGAUCCUUCCACCACAGACCUCGAUCAAAAACGCCUCAUGCUUCAAUGAUUUCAAGAGGAGGUACACUAUCUCCUUGUUCUUUAGCCAAAUUUGAACUUACAGUUAUUGUAUUGCCAUGUCUCUUCCUUCUUUCUUGACAUUUUUUAUUUCAAUGUAAGCAUAUCCCUAUUAUGUGAAGUGCUGAAAAGUCUGGGCAUCAAUGUAUACUGAGUGUAUGGCUAGAUAGGAUUCCCAGUGGACAAUUUGGUCCCCUUUUCGUCUCACCCUCUCCGGGUCCAAGAUCUUACUUUGAAGCAAUCUCUUGAGAUUUCCCUUAUCUGUACCGUUAAUGCAAGAAAUAAAAUAUCAUAUUCAGCUGUUUGGGAAGAUCCUCUAUAUUGUAGUAAUUUAAUAUUUAAUGCUCAUGUUAUUUACUAUUUUUUUUACCUUUAAUAGAACAAUCCAACAUUUGCUCUUUUGGGGUUAAGAUUUUUUCACAUUCUUCGUUUGGUACUGGUUGACCUUGUUGUACAUGAUAUGUUUUCCAUCUGCAUAAUAUAUUUCACUUACAUUUUUGGUGUUUUUCUUUUUUGAGUCGUGUUUGGAAAUGAAAAUUAGGUUUUCUAAUUUUGGGCUUUGUGUUGUGUGCCUUGCUAUAAUCUACUUGGCAUAUUGAUAUUAGGUUUGAAGUAGUUUGAAAAUUGAUAACAGAGAAAAUUAUGAAGAAAGAAAAUAUGCAUGUCGGACAAAUCCUAGAUGUUGUAAGAGGUGAAAAACUUUAUAUUGCCUUGAAGAAGUGUUCUUUUAUGAGUAACAACUUGGUAUUUGAGGUUAAACAGAAAUCAUGAGAACCAUCAACGCUUAUGGAGUGUAUACCUAUAGUCUAUUAGCGAAGUUCAUAGCUUCCACCAAACAGCUUUUCUCUCUCUCAAGAGGUUCUUAUUCAAAAUUUUAGUGCAAUAAUGAGCCCUAUAUUGAAUUGUCAAUUGUGGUUUGGUAAGUCUAAAUGGAUUGCACCUUUCUAUA